UACGGAAGGGGCAAGCGUUGUUCGGAAUCAUUGGGCGUAAAGGGCGCGUAGGUGGUUCUGUAUGUCUACCGUGAAAGCAUACAGCUCAACUGUAUUUUGUCGGUAGAAACUGCAGGACUUGAGGCUGGGAGGGGCUGGUGGAAUUCCAGGUGUAGCGGUGAAAUGCGUAGAUAUCUGGAGGAACACCGGUGGCGAAGGCGGCAUUCUGGACCAAUAUUGACGCUGAGGAGCGAAAGCCAGGGGAGCAAACGGG
rnacentral:rRNA from 1 species